GCGCUACUUCCGGUGCCAGCAUUUCCGGUGACAUGCCUAUACUCGUGAACUAGUUCUGCUUUCGAAAUGCGCGACCGCAAAAGCUAACUCUGUAGACGGUACCAAGUAAACUACCACGCUUGGUUGUCACCGCUGUUGACAGUCGUAAAAGUUUACUUAUUUCAGAAUAAUAUGAUCGGUUAUUUGUCAUUCCUGUUAGGUUUAUCGGUUCCUGACUGACAUCUGACAACCAUGGGACCGUUCGUAAAGGAGUGAAUUUCUGCUGUACAGCAACCAAAAGAUGAAGCAGCAUCCAGCACACAGCAACUUCAAGUCAGAAGUGGCCAAAAUGCAAGACAAAUACACUGAAUUAUGGAGGCGAUCACCAAUGACAUGUCCUACAUUAAGAAAGAUACUUACUAAUAUAUGAAGUGUAAUGUUAUUCUGAGGGAAGAAAUAAAAGUGUUACACCUUGUCA
rnacentral:lncRNA from 1 species